UCGGCCGGAUCUUGUGCCCAAGGAUUUGGCGUUUGUUGCGUUUUUAGUUUGGCUUGCGGUGGGACCACUUUCUGAAAACUGCACUUACCUCGUUCAAGCGAGUACAUCCACGCCCACGGCAGAUCCGUGCACGUUCACGAUUUGCAAAUGCUCAUCAAAUAUUUGCCGAAUCAGGCUGGAUUUCACGACGUUUUCCAUCGCUGGACCAACGGUAGAAAC